AUAUUCUCCGUGAAUAGAAUUUGAAUAGGAAACAUUUACACAUAUGGAGGAACUACAUCGCUAACCAUCUAAAGCCCGACAUAUUUGAACGCUAUAAGAAAAAUCGAGUGUUCAUUUAGGCCCAGGUGCUCACCGGUAAGGUCGGUAACAGACCGUACUGAAUCAAAAUGGACGUUUAAUAACCACCGUAUUUUUGAAGCAUCAAUGACGCCAGUGAUCCCACGCAACUAUCAUCGAAAACACACGAAACUGAAUGUUGGUAAAGUUUCUUCUACCACAAGAAAUACAAGAAAAAAUUACUUCACUUCAAAGAAAUAAUUUCAAAUAAUACAAUUUAAAUAAACUCUACGCCAUCAUAAUCUAUGAACUCUCAACGGGAGACGAUCUAGUUAAAUUGAUCCUAAUAACAGGAAAGUCUAUCUUCCUCCUGCAUAGAAGACUUUAGUAAAAUUGAGUUCUUUAAUAAACUCAACCGCACACCAAAUAUUUUGUAGUUAAUUAGUCGGUAAUUAGCUGAACAUUAAUAUAAUUGAUAUGGUCAUAAAAAA